GUCCACGCCCUAACGAUGCGAACUGGACGUUGGGAGCAAUUAGGCUCUCAGUGUCGAAGCUAACGCGUUAAGUUCGCCGCCUGGGGAGUACGGUCGCAAGACUGAACUCAAAGGAAUUGACGGGGCCCGCACAAGCGGUGGAGUAUGUGGUUUAAUUCGAUGCAACGCGAAGAACCUUACCUGGCCUUGACAUCCACGGAAGUCUGCAGAGAUGCGGAUGUGCCUUCGGGAACCGUGAGACAGGUGCUGCAUGGCUGUCGU
rnacentral:rRNA from 1 species